rnacentral:rRNA from 1 species
GAUGAACGCUAGCCACAGGCUUAACACAUGCAAGUCGAGGGGAAACGAUAUUGGAAGCUUGCUUCCGAUAGGCGUCGACCGGCGCACGGGUGAGUAACGCGUAUCCAACCUGCCCAUCACUUGGGAAUAACCUUGCGAAAGUAAGACUAAUGCCCAAUGACAUUUAUAGAAGGCAUCUGAAAUGAAUUAAAGAUUUAUCGGUGAUGGAUGGGGAUGCGUCUGAUUAGCUAGUUGGUGGGGUAAUGGCCUACCAAGGCGAUGAUCAGUAGCCGGUCUGAGAGGAUGAACGGCCACAUUGGGACUGAGAUACGGCCCAG